GACGAACGCUGGCGGCGUGCUUAACACAUGCAAGUCGAACGGAAGGGCCCUGCUUUUGUGGGGUGCUAGAGUGGCGAACGGGUGAGUAACACGUGAGUAACCUGCCCUUGACUGUGGGAUAACUUCAGGAGACUGGGGCUAAUACCGGAUAGGAGCUGCUGCUGCAUGGGGGGGGUUGGAAAGCUUCGGCGGUUGGGGGUGGACUCGCGGCUUAUCAGCUUGUUGGUGGAGUAGUGGCUUACGAAGGCUUCGACGGGUAGCCGGCCUUAGAGGGUAACCAGGCUCCUUACUCCUGCGAGACGGCCCAGACUCCUACGUUAGGCAGCAGUGGGGAAUAUUGCCCAGUGGUCCGACGCCUGAUGCAGCAGUGUCGCGUUCGUGAUGCCCGUCUUCGUGUUGUAAACCGCUUUCGCCUGUUACGAAGCUUGAGUGACGGUAAUGGGUAAAGAAGCACCGGCUAACUACGUG
rnacentral:rRNA from 1 species